GGAACUCAUGAGUGGCGUGCUAAUAUAUUAUUUGAUGAUAUACAUGAUGUCAUUCAACCUGAAAGCUAAUUGUGGAAUACUAGGCUUAUGAAAAGCUCACAAAUUUUCUUUCUUUUUGAGUGAUAUCAUGUGUAUCGUCCAAUCAUAUAUAGAUGUCUCUCAUGAGAGACUUCAUAUAAGAAGGGAUGCUCCAAUAUAUGUGCUGGUUAUUUUUCAUACCUCUCAUUUGUUUGUAUGUACCUCCAUUUGAAUCCUCUAUGACACUGCACAAGAAAUUCCGUUUCAUCUACCAUCUUUGUUUUGAGAUUAGUAGGUUCAUAACCAUGUAUAUUGCUUGAUGUAUCUUUCUAGGGGGAAACAUUUUAAUGAUUUUGCUCUAUUCCACCAACUUUUAAUGUAAUUGACCAACCCAAGGACAUUAAAUACAACUUGUAUUCAUAAUGAAACUUCAACGAUGGUUGCAAAAUUAAACUCUUUAUCCUAUUCAAUCAUAUAUUUCAAAUAGUUUGAUAAGUUUUGAUGGUAAAAAAAUAAAUUAAUUGAGGAGUGCAAUUUCAUUAUUAUGGUAUUAUACAUGUUUGUGAUCUGAAUAAGGCUUACAUUAGGCAUAUUCUAACAAUUUCCCUGUUAUAAUUGUUACUCUAACUAUAUAAUUCUUAUAAUUAUCUUCAUUUUAUCAUUAUUUUCAUUAAUUUUAAAAUUAUAUUUUUCAUUCUCAACAUUACUCUUAUAACUUAUUGUUGCUUUAUUUCAAAUUUCUUACAUAUGAAACUUUUUAUAUAAUAUACAAGGUAUUAAAUUAGAAGCUCAAACACAUUAAUGUAAAGGAAAAAAUGACAAAGUUUUGUUAAAAGAGUUCUAAACUAUUCAGUCAAUUGGCCCAUCUUCUUUUUUAAAGAACGUAGCCUAAAAUUUGUCCAAAGUUACGGACAAAACCAAGAAGCCCUUUAGAAUUAGGUUAUAAUAGAUUUCUCAAAACAAAACAUCCUAAAACCUACUUCUCAUUAGCUGCUACACUCCAUCUCUCUCCCUGGCUUCUUUGAGAAUAUGUUCACCCCUAUCUCAGUAUUGGCAGGGCUAUGCAUUGUUAUUUUUAUGCAAAAAUGUGUUUCUAUGUUCCUCUAUAUUUACUUUUGAACUUGCCAAUCAUUAAAAGAUGACAAUUUUUUUUGAGAUUUUGUUUCUCUAAUAUGAAUAAUAAAUUUUAAGAUAUUCGAAUAACUUACAUUAAAAAUUCAAAUAGAUACUUUCGAUCCCACUCAAGGAACUCUAACUCUAAGUUUUUCCUUUAAAUACUUGUGUUUGGAUUUCAUUUUGGACAUGUUCUCAUAUGCAUAAGUAGUAUCAUGAAAGUCUUACAUUUUGAUAUCUUAUCACACACAACCUACACUUUCAUCAUCAAACUAAUACAUUAAACUUUUACUUCUUUAUAAGUCUUCAUUUUUAUUUUUCUUUUCUUUUCUGUCCAUAACAGAGACAUUUAAAUUUAUGAUAGUUCGAAAUCUGUUCUUGAGGAGAUAGAUCCGAAGUUGGUACUGCCUAGUUCACUGCCAAGAAAAAAGGUUAGAUUUAUUAUGAAUUCCUAAUUUUUUGUAGAAAUCUAUCUGAAUUUAGGAACUAAGGGAUCUGUUAGAAUUUAGGAGCUAUGAGAUCUGUUAGCUAAUGCUAAGUUAUAAACUCUUAUAUUAUAUGUUUAUAUUGGUUCUACUUUUAUUAUGAACACAUAUAAAUUUUAUUGAGACAUAUGAUUAAAUAAGAUAAUAGACUUUUUUAUGUUUUCCUUUUUUAGUUGUCGUUGGAGUUCCUUAAUGAAUACAAAUUAUAUUUUUGUCCUCGUGUUGAUUUAUUAGAAAAAGAGUUUGAUGAAUGGAGUUUUCACCACUAGAAAGAUAGAUCAAAAAUAAUAUGCAUGAUAUUGAACCUACAAACCUAAAUAAAUAAGUAGUAGAUUAAGAGGAAUUCACUGUGUUGUGUGGUAGAUGUUUCAAAUGAGUAUACGUACCUACAAAGGCGAUAUAUGAAAAGAUAAGGAUACACACGUUGGAACAUCCCUUCUAUUGUGAAGAAUCUCAUGAGUGGUGUGCUAAUAUAUCAUCUAAUGAUAUACAUGAUGUCAUUCAACCUGAAAGCUAAUUGUGGAAUACUAGGCUUAUCAAAAGCCCACAAACUUCUUUCUUUUUGAGUGAUAUCAUGUGUGUCGUCCAAUCAUAUAUAGAUGUCUCUCAUGAGAGACUUCAUAUAAGAAGGGAUGUUCCAAUAUAUGUGCUGUUAAUAUUUCAUACCUCUCAUUUGUUUGUAUGUACCUCCAUUUGAAUCCUCUAUGACACUGCACAACAAAUUCCUUUUCAUCUACCACUUUGUUUUGAGAUUAGUAGGUUCAUAACCAUGUAUAUUGCUUGAUGUAUCUUUCUAGGGGGAAACAUUUUAAUGAUUUUGCUCUAUUCAACCAACUUUUAAUGUAACUGACCAACCCAAGGACAUUAAAUACAACUUGUAUUCAUUAUGAAACUUCAACGAUGGUUACAAAAUUAAACUCUUUAUCCCAUUCAAUCAUAUAUUUCAAAUAGUUUGGUAGGUUUUGAUGGUAAAAAAUAAAAAUUAAUUGAGGAGUGCAAUUUCAUUACUAUGCUAUUAUAUAUGUUUGUGAUCUGAAUAAGGCUUACAUUAGGCAUAUUCUAACAUUUUCCCUGUUAUAUUUGUUACUCUAACUAUAUAAUUCUUAUAAUUAUCUUCAUUUUAUCAUUAUUUUCAUUAAUUUUUAAAAUUAUUUCAUUUUCAACAUUACUAUUAUAACUUAUUGUUGUUGCUUUAUUUCAAAUUUCUUACAUAUGAAACUUUUUAUAAAUAUAAAAGGUAUAAAAUGAGAAGCUCAUACGAAUUAACGUAAAGGAAAAAAAUGACAAAAUUCGGUCAAAAGAGUUAUAAACUAUUCUAUCAAUUGGACCAUCUUCUUUUUUAAAAAACGCACCAAAAUUUGUCCAAAGUUACGGACAAAACCUAGAAGCCCUUUAGAAUAAGGUUAUAUUAGAUUUCUCAAAAUAAAACAUCCUAAAACCUACUUCUCAUCAGCUGCUACACUCCAUCUCUCUCCCUGGCUUCUUUGAGAAUAUGUUCACCCCUAUCUCAGUAUUGGCAGCGCUAUGCAUUGUUAUUUUUAUGGAAAAAUGUUGCUAUGUUCCUCUCUAUUCAUUUUGAAGUUGCCAAUCAUGAAAAGAUGACAAUUAUUUGUUUUUGAGAUUUUGUUUUUCAAAUAUGAAAAAUUGAUUUUCGGAUAUUUGAACAACUUUUAUUCAAAAUUCAAAUAGAUACUUUCGUUUCCCGCUCAACGAACUCUAACUUUAAGUUUGUCCAUUAAAUACUAGAGUUUGUAUUUCAUUUUGGACAUGUUCUGAUAUGCAUAAGUAGUAUCGUGAAAGUCUUAAAUUUUUAUAUCUUAUUACACACGACGUACACUUUCAUCAUUAAGCUACUACUUUAAGCUUUUAUUUUUUUAUAAGUCUUCAUUUUGUUUUAUUUUUUGUUUUCUGUACAUAAAAGAGACAUUUAAAUUUAUUCAAGUUCGAAAUCUAUUUUUGAGGAGAUAGAUCCUAAGCUUUUAUUGCCUAGUUCACUGCCAAGAAAAACGAUAGAUUUGUUAUGAAUUCUUAAAUUUUUAUAGAAAUCUAUCAGAAUAUAGGAGCUAAGGGAUCUGUUAGAAUUUAGGAGCUAUGGGAUUUGUAAGCAAAUGUUACGUUAUAAACUCUUAUAAUAUAUGUAUAUAACGCUUCUACUUUUAUUAUAAACACAUAUAAUUUUUAUUGAGACAAAUGAUUAAAUAACAUAAUAGACUUUUUUAUGUUGCGCCUUUUUUAAUUGCAGGUGAAAUUCCCAAAUGAAUACAAAUUAUAUUUUUUAUCUUCGGGUUGAUUGAUCAGAACAAGACUUUGAUUAAUGGAGUUUUCACCCCUAGAAAGAUAGAUAAAAAUAAUAUACAUUACAUGAAACCAGCAAACCACAAAAACAAGUAGUAGAUUAAGAGGAAUUCACGUGAUAUAUGAAAAGAUAAGGAUACACAUGCUGGAACAUCACUUUAUUGUGAAGAAACUCAUUAGUGGCGUGCUAAUAUAUAAUCUGAUGAUUCACUUGAUGUCAUUCAACUUGAAAGCUAAUUUUGGAAUACUAGGCUUAUCAAAAGCCCACAAUUUUCUUUCUUUUUGAGUGAUAUCAUAUGUAUCGUCCAAUUAUAUAUAGAUCUCUUUAAUGAGAGACUCAAUAUAAGAAGGGAUGUUCCAAUAUAUGUGCUGUUAUUUUUUCAUACCUCUCCUUUGUUUGAAUGUACUUCCAUUUGAAUCAUCUAUCACACUACACAACAAAUUCCUUUCAUCUACCAUCUUUCUUUUGAGAUUAGUAUGUUCAUAACCAUUAAUAUAGUUUUGAUGUAUCUUUUAGGGGGGGAAACAUUUUAAUGAUUUUGCUCCCUUCAACCAACUCUUAAUGUAAUUGACCAACCCGAGGACAUAAAAUACAACUUGUAUUCAUUAUGAAAGUCCAACGAUAGUUACAAAAUUAAACUCUUUAUCCUAUUCAAUCAUAUAUUUAAAAAAGUUUGAUAUGUGU
rnacentral:lncRNA from 1 species